AACGAACGCUGGCGGCAGGCUUAACACAUGCAAGUCGAACGCCCCGCAAGGGGAGUGGCAGACUGGUGAGUAACACGUGGGAACAUUCCCAAAGGUACGGAAUAUUCUCGGGAAACUGAUAGCAAUACCGUAUGUGCCCGAAAGGGGAAAGAUUUAUCGCCUUUGGAUUGGCCCGCGUCGGAUUAGCUAGUUGGUGGGGUAAAAGCCUACCAAGGCGACGAGCCGUAGCUGGUCUGAGAGGACGACCCGACACACUGGGGCUGAGACACGGCCCAGACUGCUACGCGAGGGAGGAGAGGGGAACACUGGGCAAUGGGGGCAAGUCCGAUCCCGCCAUGCCGGGUGGAUGAUGAAGGGCGUAGGGUUGUAAAAUCCUUUCGUUGGGGACGAUAAUGACGGUACCCAAAGAAGAAGCUCCGGCUAACUACGUG
rnacentral:rRNA from 1 species